rnacentral:snRNA from 1 species
GUGCUCGCUUCGGCAGCACAUACACUAAAAUCACUGAUACAGAAAAGAUUAGCAUGAGCCCUGCACAAGGAUGACAUGCAAAUUUGUAAAGGAUUCCAUUAAAAC